GGACUACUUUCCAUGGCGGAUGGAUAAUAUGCAGCGCUACCUGAUAACAACCUGUGAAUAGUGGCGGACUCAUUUUCUCAUCGAGUUGGAGCAGCAGGACCCCUAAAGGAGAGGAACUUUCCUACUGAUUUACCUUACCGAAGCUGAGUGCUGAGUUCGACAGAGUUGUCACCAAAAACCUGCUGGAGUCAUUUCUGGAAGGACUAGAUGCCACAAUGGCAAGUCUGUUGGAGCUCUACAAAGCUGGGGUGGCAUCAAAGAGGAGGUCAAACCUGAGCAGUGUUCUACAGUGUCUUCAACAGGAGGACACAAACCAACACAAAAGAACAGCUGCCUUACUUGAUCUGGCUGAGGAUUCGUCAGAUGUAAUCAGGAUGUGUGAUGCUCAUGGAGAAACCCUUGAUGAGAGAAAUGCAGGUUGGACUGUUAAUUGGACAUGAGGAAUCUCGGCACGGUGCAUUUGCUCUCAAAAUCUUCAACGUGGCUGUGGUGGUAUAAGAGACAAUCAUUCUUCAUGACCUACAGGAUGUGCCCACAGGCUUCGCCAUGCUGAUGGGAGCAACAUACUGCCUGAACCUCCAGUACCCACACCACAUUGGGCCAAAUUAUAAUGUGGAAAUGUAUGAUACUUAACAACUUGUCUUUGGUGUGGUUUAGACAUUUUGGCUGGUUUUGUUAGCACAGCUGUUUUUUAAGCUGCUGUUUAACGUGGUUCAAAUAAAUGACUGCAAGAGC